rnacentral:tRNA from 1 species
GCUGGCGUAGCUCAAUCGGCAGAGCAGCUGAUUUGUAAUCAGCAGGUUACCGGUUCAAGUCCGGUCGCCAGCUCCA